AUUGAACGCUGGCGGCAUGCCUUACACAUGCAAGCCGAACGGCAGCAUGGAAGAGCUUGCUCUUCUGAUGGCGAGUGGCGAACGGGUGAGUAAAGCAUCGGAACGUACCGUGUAGUGGGGGAUAACGUAGCGAAAGUUACGCUAAUACCGCAUACGCACUGAGGUGGAAAGCAGGGGAUCGCAAGACCUUGCGCUAUACGAGCGGCCGAUGUCAGAUUAGCUAGUUGGUAGGGUAAAGGCCUACCAAGGCGACGAUCUGUAGCGGGUCUGAGAGGAUGAUCCGCCACACUGGGACUGAGACACGGCCCAGACUCCUACGGGAGGCAGCAGUGGGGAAUUUUGGACAAUGGGGGAAACCCUGAUCCAGCCAUGCCGCGUGAGUGAAGAAGGCCUUCGGGUUGUAAAGCUCUUUCGGCUGGGAAGAAAUCGCACAGGCUAAUACUCUGUGUGGAUGACGGUACCAGCAUAAGAAGCACCGGCUAACUACGUGCCAGCAGCCGCAGUAA
rnacentral:rRNA from 1 species